CCAGGCCAAACCUCUCUUCCUUCAGAGCAAAGCAGGAACAAGCUCUUAAUAGAGCUUAGGAGUGAUUAUAGCAAGGAAAUAUGCAGAGCAUAGCAAUCCCUUGUAGCAUAUUCCCCCAAUAUGAAACGGCACUCCAAAUUAAGGAUUAAGUAGAACUGACUAAAACUUUAUUUUACUUUGGACUAGCCCAUAUGGUCAUUACAUUAACAUUGCUGUGA